rnacentral:rRNA from 1 species
UCGAGAAUCUUCGGCAAUGGGCGCAAGCCUGACCGAGCGACGCCGCGUGUGGGAUGAAGGCCUUCGGGUUGUAAACCACUGUCAGAGGGGAUGAAAUGCAGGUGGGUUCUCCCAUCUGUUUGACAUAGCCUCAGAGGAAGGACGGGCUAAGUUCGUGCCAGCAGCCGCGGUAAGACGAACCGUCCGAACGUUAUUCGGAAUCACUGGGCUUAAAGGGUGCGUAGGCGGCGCGGAAAGUUGGGUGUGAAAUCCCUCGGCUCAACCGAGGAACUGCGCCCAAUACUACCGUGCUCGAGGGAGAUAGAGGUGAGCGGAACUUAGGGUGGAGCGGUGAAAUGCGUUGAUAUCCUAAGGAACACCGGUGGCGAAAGCGGCUCACUGGAUCUCUUCUGACGCUGAGGCACGAAAGCUAGGGUAGCGAACG